CCUACGGGUGGCAGCAGUCGAGAAUCAUGCACAAUGGGGGAAACCCUGAUGGAGCGACGCCGCGUGGGGGAAUGAAGGUCUUCGGAUUGUAAACCCCUGUCAUGUGGGAGCAAAUUAAAAAGAUAGUACCACAAGAGGAAGAGACGGCUAACUCUGUGCCAGCAGCCGCGGUAAUACAGAGGUCUCAAGCGUUGUUCGGAAUCACUGGGCGUAAAGCGUGCGUAGGCUGUUGCGUAAGUCGUGGGGGAAAGGCGCGGGCUCAACCCGCGGACGGCACAUGAUACUGCGAGACUAGAGUAAUGGAGGGGGAACCGGAAUUCUCGGUGUAGCAGUGAAAUGCGUAGAUAUCGAGAGGAACACUCGUGGCGAAGGCGGGUUCCUGGACAUUAACUGACGCUGAGGCACGAAGGCCGGGGGAGCGAAAAGGAUUAGAUACCCGGGUAGUC
rnacentral:rRNA from 1 species